rnacentral:rRNA from 1 species
AACAAACGCUGGCGGCGUGUCUUAAGCAUGCAAGUUGAGCGGCAAGGAGGAGAGAUCCUCCCUAGAGCGGCGGACUGGUGAGUAACGCGUGGGUAAUCUAUCGUAGGCAUGGGGAUAGUCACUAGAAAUAGUGGGUAAUACCGAAUACGUUCCAUGAGGGGAGUAUUCAUGGAAGAAAGGGUGCUACGGCACUGGCCUUAGGUGAGCUCGCGUCCCAUUAGCUAGUUGGUGAGGUAAAGGCCCACCAAGGCGAUGAUGGGUAGCCGGCCUGAGAGGGUGUACGGCCACACUGGGACUGAGAUACGGCCCAGACUCCUACGGGAGGCAGCAGCUAAGAUAUUCCGCAAUGGACGAAAGUCUGACGGAGCGACGCCGCGUGGAUGAAGAAGGCCGAAAGGUUGUAAAGUUCUUUUGCUAGGGGAAAUAAGUGAGGGAGGGAAUGCCCUCAUGAUGACAAGGACUAGCGAAUAAGCCCCGGCAACUACGUGCCAGCA